CCUACGGGAGGCAGCAGUGGGGAAUAUUGCGCAAUGGGGGAAACCGUGAUGCACCAACUCCGCGUGAGUGACGACGGUCUUCGGAUUGUAAAGCUCCGUCUUCAGGGACGAUAAUGACGGUCCCUGAGGAGGAAGCCACGCCUAAUUACGUGCCAGCAGCCGCGGUAAU
rnacentral:rRNA from 1 species